rnacentral:rRNA from 1 species
UAAUACGGGGGGUGCAAGCGUUGUUCGGAUUUAUUGGGCGUAAAGCGCGUGUAGGCGGUUUGUUAAGUCUGAUGUGAAAGCCCUGGGCUCAACCCAGGAAGUGCAUUGGAUACUGGCAAACUUGAAUACGGGAGAGGGCAGUGGAAUUCCUGGUGUAGGAGUGAAAUCCGUAGAUAUCAGGAGGAACACCGGUGGCGAAGGCGGCUGCCUGGACCGAUAUUGACGCUGAGACGCGAAAGCGUGGGUAGCAAACAGGAUUAGAUACCCUGGUAGUCCACGCCGUAAACGAUGAGUACUAGGUGUUGCGGGUAUUGACCCCUGCAGUGCCGCAGCUAACGCAUUAAGUACUCCGCCUGGGAAGUACGGUCGCAAGACUA